AACUCUGUUACACAGAAAUUGAAAGGGAUAUACAUAGCUUGCUGAUAUCCUUAUGCGAUUUGGAUUAUAUGAAUAUAUCGUUUUUGAUAGGAAAGUGAUAUUUAAUAAGCUGCUACACAACAAUCGUUUCACGUAACGUCGUGAAGAGCUACAAGUGUGUGGCUUUUAAGCUUUCGAUGGCGACGCCCACCAGGGGGCAACAACAAGAUACACGUACAGUCGACACCGGUAGCCGACAUCGUCCAGCACGAGAUCAUUCACCAACGCCAAAUAAACAGCAAAAACAGCAGCAGCAGUAAAAGGAAAGAGGAGCACACCGCCCACGCGUGAUGAAGCAGCGACGGGAGCUUCUUCAAGAAUAGUAGUAUAUUGGCGAAUUCGUUGCCUCGGUGGCAGCGGCAACGCGUACGUCAUGAGCAUCAGAUCUGUUCAACGAUGCCCCCUUCUCCCCUUCCCUUGACGAAAAAAAAUGAACCUCCUCUCACUUGACUGUCUCAAGCUGUUCAUUGAUAUCUGCAGUUACCUUAUGAAUAAUAUGGAGCACUACAGUUUACUACGAAAACCGCUAUCCAUGCCACGGAGAAUGAUGAUCCCUACUAUAGAUGACGUGGUGCUUGAGGCCCUCCGACUCGGUCGACGGGACUGUUGCCAUUUUGUCUGGCUGACCAGAUCAGCAGCGCUCCUAAAUCAUUCGAAAUGCCCAUCAUCCUUUUCUUACCACCAUUGCCAUCUAACUAUCACUACAACUGCCCAUUCAAAGUUCCCCACCAAAGCUGGCUAGAUGAAGAUAGACGGAGGCGAAUUUAAGAAAUCAGAGACCCUGGCAUCUAUUCCAGCCCCAUUUUUCCCUAUCUUGCCCAAACCGCAAACGUUAUUCAGCCGUGAAUCGUAUGAAAUGUCUGCGAAUCGUUGACUGUUUCGGCAGUGCUGCUGCUGUUAAGGCUUUUCUGCAUUUCCUUCGCUGCAUAUAUAGAGUGAGAUGACCGACGCUAGACGAAAUACAGGCCCAGCGCUUGGUGAGAACAUCCAACUCGACACGCU